UACGGGGGGAGCAAGCGUUGUUCGGAUUUACUGGGCGUAAAGGGCGCGUAGGCGGCCUCCGCAAGUCAGUUGUGAAAUCUCCGAGCUUAACCCGGAAAGGUCAACUGAUACUGCGGGGCUAGAGUGCGGAAGGGGCAACUGGAAUUCUUGGUGUAGCGGUGAAAUGCGUAGAUAUCAAGAGGAACACCUGCGGCGAAGGCGGGUUGCUGGGCCGACACUGACGCUGAGGCGCGAAAGCUAGGGGAGCGAACGGG
rnacentral:rRNA from 1 species